GGCUCCGGUGGCCUAGUGGUUAGAGCGUCUGCUUGAGACGCGGAAAGGGGCAGGUACGAACCCCGUCUGAGUCA